AGCGAACGCUGGCGGCAGGCCUAACACAUGCAAGUCGAACGAACUCUUCGGAGUUAGUGGCGGACGGGUGAGUAACACGUGGGAACGUGCCUUUCGGUUCGGAAUAACUCAGGGAAACUUGUGCUAAUACCGAAUGUGCCCUUCGGGGGAAAGAUUUAUCGCCAUUAGAGCGGCCCGCGUCUGAUUAGCUAGUUGGUGAGGUAACGGCUCACCAAGGCGACGAUCAGUAGCUGGUCUGAGAGGAUGACCAGCCACACUGGGACUGAGACACGGCCCAGACUCCUCCGGGAGGCAGCAGUGGGGAAUCUUGCGCAAUGGGCGAAAGCCUGACGCAGCCAUGCCGCGUGAAUGAUGAAGGUCUUAGGAUUGUAAAAUUCUUUCACCGGGGACGAUAAUGACGGUACCCGGAGAAGAAGCCCCGGCUAACUUCGUG
rnacentral:rRNA from 1 species